UUGACAGUGAAGGGUGACAGCAGCAGGAAGGAAUGAGCUCCGGUUUCUCUUCUUCACACUUGAGUGAAGCAGCCUCUCACAAAAGAAGCUCUUCAUUCAGCUUCUUGACAUAUUUCAACAGUCAGAUUCCACCGUGCACCUAAUUGUGUCACGAAUCGUCCAGGACGGGAACCCAAAAGCAGACCACACGGAAGAAUCAAAAUAAAAGCGCCUGGUGUCCUGCACUCCUCCACCUGCCCAUCUCCGCCCAAUCAUUUUAGACAUCUGCUUCAUCAACGCAUCAUUCUAUCAGCAACCACCACCACCAGUGUCUGUACUCCAUGGGGCGGAUAUAUCUUGGUGCUCAGGGGAACGGCCCUGUGAAGUGCAAGCGGCAACAACUCUGUCAAGACUGUCAUCGCAUAUCAUCUGUUAAUAAU
ensembl:lncRNA